rnacentral:rRNA from 1 species
CACGGGGGGAGCGAGCGUUGUUCGGAAUUACUGGGCGUAAAGGGCGUGUAGGCGGCACGGUAAGUGAGAUGUGAAAGCCCCCGGCUUACCCGGGGAACGGCAUCUCAUACUGCCGCGCUUGAGUGCGGAAGAGGAUGGGGGAAUUCCUGGUGUAGCGGUGAAAUGCGUAGAUAUCAGGAGGAACACCGGUGGCGAAGGCGCCCAUCUGGUCCGUUACUGACGCUGAGGCGCGAAAGCUAGGGGAGCGAAC